GUUUAGAAGAACCUGCAUAUGUCAUUGAGAAAAUUGGAAGGAGUUGCAAAAAAAUUUCUGAGCUAAAGAUUAUGGACCCCUGCGAUGUACUGCUUGCAUCUGCACUGGUCGCAUUUCUUCCAAACUUGAAAGUGUUGAGUGUGAGGUGUACGGAGUUACCUAAAUAUGCUUUGGUUAUUCUCUUGGAGGGGUUAAAAAAGUUGAAAGUGCUCAACAUAUCGCAUUGCAUAAUUACUGAAGACCUUCCUCCACCUGCACCUAUGAAAAUUCUAACCGAGCUUGAUGAAUCCAUUCUCAAAAAAGCAUCUAGGUUGGAC
rnacentral:misc_RNA from 1 species